UACGUAGGGUGCAAGCGUUGUCCGGAAUUAUUGGGCGUAAAGAGCUCGUAGGCGGUCUGUCGCGUCUGCUGUGAAAACUCAGGGCUUAACCCUGAGCUUGCAGUGGGUACGGGCAGACUAGAGUGCGGUAGGGGAGACUGGAAUUCCUGGUGUAGCGGUGAAAUGCGCAGAUAUCAGGAGGAACACCGGUGGCGAAGGCGGGUCUCUGGGCCGUAACUGACGCUGGAGGAGCGAAAGCCAUGGGGAGCGAACAGGAUU
rnacentral:rRNA from 1 species